rnacentral:rRNA from 1 species
UACGUAGGGGGCAAGCGUUGUCCGGAUUUACUGGGCGUAAAGAGCGUGUAGGCGGCCAAACAGGUCCGUUGUGAAAACUGGAGGCUCAACUUCCAGACGUCGACGGAAACCGUGUGGCUAGAGUCCGGAAGAGGAGAGUGGAAUUCCUGGUGUAGCGGUGAAAUGCGUAGAUAUCAGGAGGAACACCUGUGGCGAAAGCGGCUCACUGGACCAUUACUGACGCUGAUGCUCGAAAGCUAGGGGAGCAAACAGG